rnacentral:antisense_RNA from 1 species
CGGCGGAUUCGGGCACCCAGCGUGCUCCGUCCGACUGACCCCGAGCGGCCCGAAUCCAGCCUCGGCCACCGGGGGCGGGGCUUGAAAAGGGGGCGUCUCUUCCCGGCGGAGGGACCUCGGACCACCCCCACUUCAGACAAGGGACCCCGAGUGCGCACCGUUUCCUUUCCAUAACGAGUGGACCCCCCCCUCCCGGGAGCACUCCUUUAGCCCUUCCUCCGUGGGAGACCCCCCAGGGCUGGCACGAGAGAUGCCAACGGACCCCCCCCCCCGACACACCUGCGUCGCCUCCGGCACGCGCUCUGCCCGGUACCUCCCCUCGGGCGCCUUCUCCCCCAAGCUGGCUGGGAGCUGGGACGGGGACGCGCAGGGUCCGGGAGAGUUACGGGCUUAAGACUUCAUCUCAUUGUGGAAAGCAAGAGACCAAGCCAAAAACUUUGGUCGUGCUUUUCAACAUCUCUGGUCAAAAGAGGUCGCCAAUCUGGUUUUCUCCCAUUGCAGCGUGAUAGAGGGGUGUGGUGCCAUGAUACCGCUUUUAAAAAUCCUGUUGAAUGCAAGUCCUCUUUGUUGCUCAUUGAACAAUGAGGAUAUUUAGCUCCCCUCAGACCUACCCUCAGAGUUGGAUGAGCUAUCCUCGGAGUUGGAUGCCACCACCGGCAGCAGCAAAAGCGAAGGCAACUCAUGAUUCUGCCUCAGAAGCAAUCGAAUAAAACAUUUUGAAAAUGAA